rnacentral:rRNA from 1 species
GACGAACGCUGGCGGCGUGCUUAACACAUGCAAGUCGAACGGAAAGGCCCUGCUGUUUGCGGGUUCUCGAGUAGCGAACAAGUGAGGAGCACGUGGGUAACCUGCCCUUGACUUUGGGGUAACUUCAUUAAACUGGAGCUAAUACUGCAUAGUAGAUCUUGCUGCAUGGUGGGGGUUGGAAAGAUGCGGCGGUUGGGGAUGGACUCGCGGCUUAUGAGCUUGUUGGUGUGGUAGUGGCUUACCAAGCCUUUGACGGCUAGCCGGCCUGAGAGGGUGACCGGCCACAUUGGGACUGAGAUACGGCCCAGAAUCCUACGGGCGGCAGCAGUGGGGAAUAUUGCACAAUGGGCGGAAGCCUGAUGCAGCAACGCCGCGUGCGGGAUGACGGCCUUCGGGUUGUAAACAGCUUUAGCAUGUGACGAAGCGUGAGUGACGGUAAUGGGUAAAGAAGCACCGGCUAACUACGUG